rnacentral:misc_RNA from 1 species
GUGAAUCAUCAAAUCUUUGAACGCAAAUUGCACUCUCUUCUGAUAGGAUGCCUGUUUGAGGGUCAGCCUAAGAAAAAUCGACAUAGUUUCUUUUACGCGGUAACGUUCGGCUGAAAUUGGGUCAUCUUAAACCUUUGGGUUUAAUCGUCUUAAAAUUUUCUUUACGAUUGCAAUAACUUGUCUAAGAUUUUAUUUUCUUAUACGUUUAAUGUAUGGUUCUUUAUUAGACUUGGCCUUUGCAUCGGUUCUCGUCCAUAAAGAUUUCGUUAACUU